UACGUAGGGUGCAAGCGUUGUCCGGAAUUAUUGGGCGUAAAGAGCUCGUAGGCGGUCUGUCACGUCGGCUGUGAAAUCCCGAGGCUUAACCCCGAGCCUGCAGUGGAUACGGGCAGACUAGAGGUAGGUAGGGGAGAAUGGAAUUCCCGGUGUAGCGGUGAAAUGCGCAGAUAUCAGGAGGAACACCGGUGGCGAAGGCGGGUCUCUGGGCCGUUACUGACGCUGAGGAGCGAAAGCGUGGGGAGCGAACAGG
rnacentral:rRNA from 1 species